rnacentral:rRNA from 1 species
GUGCCAGCCGCCGCGGUAAUACGUAGGUGGCAAGCGUUGUCCGGAUUUAUUGGGCGUAAAGCGAGCGCAGGCGGUUUCUUAAGUCUGAUGUGAAAGCCCCCGGCUCAACCGGGGAGGGUCAUUGGAAACUGGGAGACUUGAGUGCAGAAGAGGAGAGUGGAAUUCCAUGUGUAGCGGUGAAAUGCGUAGAUAUAUGGAGGAACACCAGUGGCGAAGGCGGCUCUCUGGUCUGUAACUGACGCUGAGGCUCGAAAGCGUGGGGAGCGAACAGGAUUAGAUACCCUGGUAGUCCACGCCGUAAACGAUGAGUGCUAAGUGUUGGAGGGUUUCCGCCCUUCAGUGCUGCAGCAAACGCAUUAAGCACUCCGCCUGGGGAGUACGACCGCAAGGUUGAAACUCANAGGAAUUGACGGGGGCCCGCACAAGCGGUGGAGCAUGUGGUUUA